ensembl:snoRNA SNORD83 Small nucleolar RNA SNORD83
GCCACAUGAUGAUCUCAUAGAUGGCAUUAGCGCUUUGUGCAAAGAUGACCUAUUAUCUAUCACCCUUGACUGAUGGCU